ensembl:lncRNA
AUGUGUGUGUGUGUGGAGGGGGGGCGGGGUGGGUUCUGCUGGAGAAGGAAAUGGCAACCCGCUUCAGUAUUCUUGCCUGGGAAAUCCCAUGGACAGAGGAGCCUGGCGGGCUACAGUCCCUGGGCUCCCAAAGAGUUGGACACGACUGAGCGACUAAACAAUAACAACAACAACAGCAACGGGAAUUUGAACAAACUCCACCGCCCUGAAUGUCCGGUGCUGCGCGAAAGAUGCUCUUCCGCUGGGGGGCCACCAAAGCGGAACAGCGCAGACGGUGCCUGCCGCCUCCCCUGGCGCUGGGCGUCGGGGUCAAGUCACCUCCCGGAGCCCCGCGCGGGGCACGGUGGGGACUCGGGGCCCAGCCAUCCCCAGCAGCAGCGCCCCGAGUCCCCGCCCGCCUGCCGGCUCCUCACCUAUCAGAUUUCCUGUGCGCACCGCGCGCCGCUCCUCCCACCUCCUAAAGGCCAGCGCAGGGGACCGCCGCGCUCCGUCAGGACCCAGCUACUCAAGGGACGGCGCAAUGCGGCUCUGAGCUCGGGCAUCGGUACGGCCCCGCGCAGGGAGUGCGGGGCGCGCGGGCUUCCCAAGGCAGAGAAUCAUCACUUUCUGGCAAAUAAACCAAGCCCAAGACCUAAUUGUGCUGAAUGUCAUAUGACCUAAUUGUGCUGAAUGUCAUAUGCUGACAGCUCUUGGAAUCCACCCUUUGGCUUAGCUUUCAAACAAGAGGUUCAUCUUACCCAGGAAAAGGGUGAGUUAUUUGCUUUCUUAAUGUUAUAAUGCUGACAUGGAUGAUCCUGGAUUUGUGGAGAAUAAAAGAGAUAGGUGAGCAAAAGAACAUGCGUGCAUGUAAAGUCGCUUUAGUCGUGUCUGACUCUGUGGGACCAUAUGGAUUUUAGCCUGCCAGACUUCUCUGUCCAUUGGAUUCUCCAGGCAAGAAUACUGGAAUGGGUUGCCAUGCCCUCUUCCAGGGGAUCUUCCCCACCCAGGGAUUGAACCUAUGCCUCUUACAUCUCCUGCAUUGGCAGGUGAGUUCUUUAUCACUAGUGCUACCUGGGAAGUCCAGUGAAAGAAUAGGAGAUUUAAAAAGUAACCUAAAAAGAAAAGAAAAGAAAAGAAAAAAAAAAAAGCCACUGCUUUGCACAGAUGGAAUUCCAAGGUAGUAGUACACAUUGAAGACUGGUCUUGCUUCUUUCUGGGAGUGAUGAAAUGGUGCUUAAAUCAGUCAAAGAAGAAUGCCAGGGGUCUGUACAUUUGGGUCUAGGACAUAUGCUUUCCAGCCUUGCAGGUUCUCUAGCUAGAUGCCAUUAUGGAGUCAGAGAAGGGCAGAACUGGAAGGACAGACCUAGUGAGCUGUGUGGUUCCAUGUCCUUCUAGAUCAGGGAUCUGAGACUCCCGCCAUGAAGGAGCCAGGACCACUGCCUGGUUCCUGUGGUCCCAAUCUUCCACCAGGGAGUGAGAGACGGUGGCACUCAUCUCUGCCUCCCUGUGGAAUCUCAUCACUCCACUUGUGUCUGCAACAAGACUCCAGAGUUUCUAAAACUUGAGCUAUGAAGCAUGGGUCUCGUCUCAUCCCCCAUCUCAGCCACCCAGGGCAAAGCUAUACUCCUGCUUUUUGAGGUCUAACCAUUUGAUUGUUUUCCUUUCAGAUGGCUUACAUGAAGAUGAGAUGGGUAUAUAUUUCCCUGAUGGUCCUGGGAGUCUUUUGUCUGUAUUAUAACCUGGAGGAUCUGAAUCCUUUUAAAGGAGAACCAGUGAUUUUCAAGAAUGAACUUGGGGACUUCCUUCAGCUCCCAGAUAUAGAUUGUGGGCAGGAUCCCCCCUUUCUUAUACUGCUGGUAGCUUCAUCUCAUGAGCAGUGGUUUGUCCGCUUGGUCAUCCGGAGCACAUGGGGAAAAGAAAAGAUCAUAAAGGAAAGCGGAUAAAACAUUCUUUCUCCUGGGAACUUCUCCCAGUAAACACAUCUCAAGAAAAGAAAAGAAAAGAAAAGAAAAAAAAAGCCACUGCUUUGCACAGAUGGAAUUCCAAGGUAGUAGUACACAUUGAAGACUGGUCUUGCUUCUUUCUGGGAGUGAUGAAAUGGUGCUUAAAUCAGUCAAAGAAGAAUGCCAGGGGUCUGUACAUUUGGGUCUAGGACAUAUGCUUUCCAGCCUUGCAGGUUCUCUAGCUAGAUGCCAUUAUGGAGUCAGAGAAGGGCAGAACUGGAAGGACAGACCUAGUGAGCUGUGUGGUUCCAUGUCCUUCUAGAUCAGGGAUCUGAGACUCCCGCCAUGAAGGAGCCAGGACCACUGCCUGGUUCCUGUGGUCCCAAUCUUCCACCAGGGAGUGAGAGACGGUGGCACUCAUCUCUGCCUCCCUGUGGAAUCUCAUCACUCCACUUGUGUCUGCAACAAGACUCCAGAGUUUCUAAAACUUGAGCUAUGAAGCAUGGGUCUCGUCUCAUCCCCCAUCUCAGCCACCCAGGGCAAAGCUAUACUCCUGCUUUUUGAGGUCUAACCA